rnacentral:rRNA from 1 species
AUGGGUCGUAACUUCAACUCGUUUUUUUCAAAGACUUCGCAAAGGGUUGUAUUCGUUGUACCGAAUCUUCCGUUCCAACUUCCAAGUUGCAAAUUUACCUUAUUUUUUUUAGAACACCAAGUUGCAAAAUUAUCUCAAGACCCAGUGUUUAAGGUCAUCAACGCCUUUUACUGUCGCAUAAGUUCUGUUAUCAUAAGGUUCCUUCUCGAAAACACUGGAGUAGCUCAUUUUCUGGGGUACAAAAACCAGGAGUUGUUGAAUCAUCCUAGGCACCUACCAAUGCUCAUGGCAUCUCGUCCGUUGACCAAUAAACCACAAAAUAUCUUAGCAAGACUUGCACUUUUGUAA